AUUAGUGGCGAACGGGUGAGUAACACGUGAGCAAUCUGCCCUUGACUCUGGGAUAAGCGCUGGAAACGGCGUCUAAUACCGGAUACGAGCUGCGAAGGCAUCUUCAGCAGCUGGAAAGAACUUCGGUCAAGGAUGAGCUCGCGGCCUAUCAGCUAGUUGGUGAGGUAACGGCUCACCAAGGCGACGACGGGUAGCCGGCCUGAGAGGGUGACCGGCCACACUGGGACUGAGACACGGCCCAGACUCCUACGGGAGGCAGCAGUGGGGAAUAUUGCACAAUGGGCGCAAGCCUGAUGCAGCAACGCCGCGUGAGGGACGAAGGCCUUCGGGUUGUAAACCUCUUUUAGCAGGGAAGAAGCGAAAGUGACGGUACCUGCAGAAAAAGCACCGGCUAACUACGUGCCAGCAGCCGCGGUAAUACGUAGGGUGCGAGCGUUAUCCGGAAUUAUUGGGCGUAAAGAGCUCGUAGGCGGUCUGUCGCGUCUGCUGUGAAAUCCCGAGGCUCAACCUCGGGCUUGCAGUGGGUACGGGCAGACUAGAGUGCGGUAGGGGAGAUUGGAAUUCCUGGUGUAGCGGUGGAAUGCGCAGAUAUCAGGAGGAACACCGAUGGCGAAGGCAGA
rnacentral:rRNA from 1 species